rnacentral:rRNA from 1 species
GACGAACGCUGGCGGCGUGCCUAAUACAUGCAAGUCGAACGCAGUGGGGACGGGUGAGUAACACGUGGCUAACCUCCCAUCAGAGUGCAUAACCCUUGGAAACAGGUGCUAAACCGAUACUGAUGGAUGAACUCGCGGUGCAUUAGCUAGUCGGUGAGGUAAAGGCUCACCAAGGCUACGAUGCAUAGCCGACCUGAGAGGGUGAUCGGCCACACUGGGACUGAGACACGGCCCAGACUCCUACGGGAGGCAGCAGUAGGGAAUCUUCGGCAAUGGGCGAAAGCCUGACGCAGCAACGCCGCGUGAGUGAAGAAGGUCUUCGGAUCGUAAAACUCUGUUGUUAGAGAAGCGGUAUCUAACCAGAAAGCAACGGCUAACUACGUGCCAGCAGCCGCGGUAAUAC